rnacentral:rRNA from 1 species
GCUCGUAGUUGAAAUUCGGUCUGCCAGUCUUCGGACAUCAUGGCGGAUCUCCGCUUACAAUCUACUCGAGCUUUAAACCUUGAGUUGUAGAGUAGGCAGUUUACCUUGAAAAAAUUAGAGUGUUUCAGGCAGGUUUUCGCCGGAAUACAUUAGCAUGGAAUAAUGGAAUAGGACUUUAGCCUGAUGUUGGUUUUUGGCUAUUGUAAUGAUUAAUAGGGACAGAUGGGGGCAUUAGUAUUUAAUUGUCAGAGGUGAAAUUCUUGGAUUUAUUAAAGACUAACUUAUGCGAAAGCAUUUGCCAAGGAUGUUUU